rnacentral:rRNA from 1 species
AUUGAACGCUGGCGGCAGGCCUAACACAUGCAAGUCGAGCGAGCGGCGGACGGGUGAGUAAUGUAUGGGGACUGCCCGAUAGAGGUGGAUAACUACUGGAAACGGUGGCGAAUACCGCAUACUGUCGGAUAUCCCAUGUGGGAUUAGCUAGUUGGUAAGGUAAUGGCUUACCUAGGCGACGAUCCCUAGCUGGUCUGAGAGGAUGAACAGCCACACUGGGACUGAGACACGGCCCAUACUCCUACGGAGGCAGCAGUGGGGAAUAUUGCACAAUGGGCGCAGGCCUGAGGUAGCCAUGCCGCGUGUAUGAAGAAGGCCCUAGGGUUGUAAAGUACUUUCAGUCGGGAGGCGUUACCGACAGAAGAAGCACCGGCUAACUCCGUGCCAGCCGCCGCGGUAAUAC